CGCACAUUGCGCCCUUUGGUAUUCCUUAGGGCAUGCCUGUUCGAGCGUCAUUUAUCUCAAAGGCCCCUCACUUCUGUGAGGGGGUUGUUGGGUGCAUGUCCCACCAUAGGUGUGGACACACCCCAAAUAUAUUGGCGGCCUUUGUCUUGGGCUAUGAGCGCAGUAGACUCGCGCCUCUGGCCCAGUGCGUUGGCAUCCAUAAGGCAAAUCAUAUCUUGACCUCGGAUCAGGUAGGGAUACCCGCUGAACUUAA
rnacentral:misc_RNA from 1 species